rnacentral:rRNA from 1 species
AGUGAACGCUGGCGGUAGGCCUAACACAUGCAAGUCGAACGGCAGCACAGUAAGAGCUUGCUCUUACGGGUGGCGAGUGGCGGACGGGUGAGGAAUACAUCGGAAUCUACUUUUUCGUGGGGGAUAACGUAGGGAAACUUACGCUAAUACCGCAUACGACCUACGGGUGAAAGCAGGGGAUCUUCGGACCUUGCGCGAUUGAAUGAGCCGAUGUCGGAUUAGCUAGUUGGCGGGGUAAAGGCCCACCAAGGCGACGAUCCGUAGCUGGUCUGAGAGGAUGAUCAGCCACACUGGAACUGAGACACGGUCCAGACUCCUACGGGAGGCAGCAGUGGGGAAUAUUGGACAAUGGGCGCAAGCCUGAUCCAGCCAUACCGCGUGGGUGAAGAAGGCCUUCGGGUUGUAAAGCCCUUUUGUUGGGAAAGAAAAGCAGCAGGUUAAUACCCCGCUGUUCUGACGGUACCCAAAGAAUAAGCACCGGCGAACCUCGU